UCAAACGCUGAGAAGCGGAGUAGUAGCUGAUUUUAACGGUCAAGAGAGAGGGCGGACGGUGCAAGCCCUACCGGACGGUCAGUGAAGUCACCGCGGAGCGGUCGUGCUGAAAUCCAGUAAGCCGGACGGGUGUCCCGUUACAGACGGUAAGUGUCACGCGUUUUGCGUGGAAUCCAGGUGGUACCACGGACUUUUGUUCGCCCUGAGC
rnacentral:ncRNA from 1 species